UGAGGAAUAUUGGUCAAUGGACGGAAGUCUGAACCAGCCAAGUAGCGUGCAGGAUGACGGCCCUAUGGGUUGUAAACUGCUUUUGUAUGGGGAUAAAGUUAGGGACGUGUCCCUAUUCGCAGGUACCAUACGAAUAAGGACCGGCUAAUUCCGUGCCAGCAGCCGCGGUAAUACGGAAGGUCCAGGCGUUAUCCGGAUUUAUUGGGUUUAAAGGGAGCGUAGGCUGGAGAUUAAGUGUGUUGUGAAAUGUAGACGCUCAACGUCUGAAUUGCAGCGCAUACUGGUUUCCUUGAGUACGCACAACGUUGGCGGAAUUCGUCGUGUAGCGGUGAAAUGCUUAGAUAUGACGAAGAACUCCGAUUGCGAAGGCAGCUGACGGGAGCGCAACUGACGCUUAAGCUCGAAGGUGCGGGUAUCAAACAGG
rnacentral:rRNA from 1 species